rnacentral:rRNA from 1 species
AGAACGAACGCUGGCGGCAGGCUUAACACAUGCAAGUCGAGCGCUGUAGCAAUACAGAGCGGCAGACGGGUGAGUAACGCGUGGGAACAUACCCUCCGGUUCGGAAUAACUCAGGGAAACUUGAGCUAAUACCGGAUACGGUCGAGAGGCGAAAGAUUUAUCGCCGGAGGAUUGGCCCGCGUCCGAUUAGCUAGUUGGUGUGGUAAUGGCGCACCAAGGCGACGAUCGGUAGCUGGUCUGAGAGGAUGAUCAGCCACAUUGGGACUGAGACACGGCCCAAACUCCUACGGGAGGCAGCAGUGGGGAAUAUUGGACAAUGGGCGAAAGCCUGAUCCAGCCAUGCCGCGUGAGUGAUGAAGGCCUUAGGUUGUAAAGCUCUUUCGCCCAGACGAUAAUGACGGUAGUGGGAGAAGAAGCCCGGCUAACUUCGCGCCAGCAGCCGC